AUCCAGCUGACGAGUCUCAAAUAGGACGAAAUGUGCAUCCUCUAU
rnacentral:hammerhead_ribozyme from 1 species